GGACUCUUCUCAUCCAGUAGCUUUGGCCUUUGGACUUCCAGGGCUCCUCCUCUCUGUAGCAAUAAAGCUUCCAACUCAGAAUCUCAGUUGAAAACAACAAUGAUGAUAAAGUGUGUUCAGUCUUUCCUGGGACUGGUAUAGUGGAAGUUCUCCAGAAUCAAGCCACUGAAGGGCAAGAUUAGAGAGGAGACAUACUGUGGAGUCUUCUCCAGAAAGGAAAGGAAACAGAAAUGUAAAAUUCAGUAACUAUCCUGUCCCCUGUGGAUGGCAGUAUGUGGAUAGGGAGUAGGCUUUUAUUGCAAAAAUGGAGUUUUAAUGUCACAAAAUGGAAUAUGAUACAAAGCUCCCAUGGAUUUUCCUAAAGUCAAGAAGAUUAAAGUUCUUGAAUGGCAUUGUAAAAAUAAUGAAAUAUGCGAGAUUCUUGCAAUAAUCCUGUGGAAGAAUAAAGAAAUGUAUCACCAAUCACGUUUUUCAGGUAAGGAAAUUCACAUAACCACAUGCACACGGACUCUCUCAAGGUCACAGAGCAAACUGAAGUCAGAGCCAGCUUUAGAAAGGAAGCUGAUAUUUGUGCGCAUCAAUUAUGCAUCAGACACUGAGCUUAUUUGUUACCUCAACAAAUUUAGGAAUUUUUAUCAUCUACAUUUUACAAAUGAAGAAACUGAGGCUGAGAGAUACAGAACAAUAUUGCC
rnacentral:lncRNA from 1 species